rnacentral:tRNA from 1 species
ACCUGGCUGACUUAGUUGGGAGAGCGUGAGACUCUUGAUCUCAGGGUUGUGAGUUCAAGCCCCACGUUAGGUA